rnacentral:rRNA from 1 species
GAAUGCUGACAUAAGUAACGAUAAAGCGGGUGAAAAGCCCGCUCGCCGGAAGACCAAGGGUUCCUGUCCAACGUUAAUCGGGGCAGGGUGAGUCGACCCCUAAGGCGAGGCCGAAAGGCGUAGUCGAUGGGAAACGGGUUAAUAUUCCCGUACUUGGUGUUACUGCGAAGGGGGGACGGAGAAGGCUAUGUUGGCCGGGCGACGGUUGUCCCGGUUUAAGCGUGUAGGUGUGUGUUCCAGGUAAAUCCGGUUCACUUUAACACUGAGGCGUGACGACGAGGCACUACGGUGCUGAAGCAACAAAUGCCCUGCUUCCAGGAAAAGCCUCUAAGCAUCAGGUAACAUCAAAUCGUACCCCAAACCGACACAGGUGGUCAGGUAGAGAAUACCAAGGCGCUUGAGAGAACUCGGGUGAAGGAACUAGGCAAAAUGGUGCCGUAACUUCGGGAGAAGGCACGCUGACACGUAGGUGAAGUGAUUUACUCACGGAGCUGAAGUCAGUCGAAGAUACCAGCUGGCUGCAACUGUUUAUUAAAAACACAGCACUGUGCAAACACGAAAGUGGACGUAUACGGUGUGACGCCUGCCCGGUGCCGGAAGGUUAAU